AAUUGUUAAGUAAAUCACCUCUGUAUAUAUUAUUCAUUUUUUUGAUGACAAUCAUUAUUCUUAUCUAAAUACGAUUAAUUUAAAACAAUCAAGGUGGAUACAUUUGUCUUCAGUUUAAUAAAAGUAAUUGUCAAGUGCUGACACGUUUUAUAUAUUCUUGAGCUGUUAAGUCAUUUUGAAGAAAUUAAUUUCUUUUUAUAUUGUGUGCUUCAAAUUUAAAAGAGGAAACAUGCGUUUUGUAAUUUCGCUUUUGGUAAUGGUAUUUUCCAUUGUAAUGAUCAAAGGAAUGUGUCCAUGUCCAAGAAAUUACGAACCUAUUUGCGUCAGUGAUGGAAACAAAUUCUCCAAAUACAACAACAGAUGCCUAUUAAAUUGUGCCGUAAGAGAAGGAGAAUUUCUAGGU